rnacentral:rRNA from 1 species
ACUCUGACCAGCCAUGCCGCGUGCAGGAUGACUGCCCUAUGGGUUGUAAACUGCUUUUAUCCGGGAAUAAACCUACUUACGUGUAAGUAGCUGAACGUACCGGAGGAAUAAGGAUCGGCUAACUCCGUGCCAGCAGCCGCGGUAAUACGGAGGAUCCAAGCGUUAUCCGGAUUUAUUGGGUUUAAAGGGUGCGUAGGCGGCCUGUUAAGUCAGGGGUGAAAGACGGUAGCUCAACUAUCGCAGUGCCCUUGAUACUGAUGGGCUUGAAUGGACUAGAGGUAGGCGGAAUGAGACAAGUAGCGGUGAAAUGCAUAGAUAUGUCUCAGAACACCGAUUGCGAAGGCAGCUUACUAUGGUCUUAUUGACGCUGAGGCACGAAAGCGUGGGGAUCAAACAGGAUUAGAUACCCUGGUAGUCCACGCCCUAAACGAUGAACACUCGCUGUUGGCGAUACACAGUCAGCGGCUAAGCGAAAGCGUUAAGUGUUCCACCUGGGGAGUACGCCCGCAAGGGUGAAACUCAAAGGAAUUGACGGGGGCCCGCACAAGCGGAGGAGCAUGUGGUUUAAUUCGAUGAUACGCGAGGAACCUUACCCGGGCUUGAAAGUUAGUGAAUGAUUUAGAGAUAGAUCAGU